UAGUGUGGUGGUUGCUGUUUGUGGCAGAUCUGUAAGUGUAUCAGAUCUGUAUCAGAACUCCCACAGACAUCAGAAAGGAGAAGGCUGUGCUGAGAACUUCAAGCUUUCMGUUUUCAGCUCUCUGUCCAGCUCCUACAGGA